ACGGGAGGCAGCAGUGAGGAAUAUUGGUCAAUGGACGGAAGUCUGAACCAGCCAAGUCGCGUGAAGGAUGAAGGUAUUAUGUAUUGUAAACUUCUUUAGCAGUGGAGUAAUAAGGGGAUCGCGAUCCCUGAUGCAAGUACACUGAGGAUAAGGAUCGGCUAACUCCGUGCCAGCAGCCGCGGUAAUACGGAGGAUCCGAGCGUUAUCCGGAUUUAUUGGGUUUAAAGGGUGCGCAGGCGGCCCCUUAAGUCGGCGGUGAAAUUUCCGGGCUCAACCCGGUCACUGCCGUCGAAACUGGGGGGCUUGAGUGCGUUUGGGGUGGCUGGAAUGUGCGGUGUAGCGGUGAAAUGCAUAGACAUCGCACAGAACGCCGAUCGCGGAGGCAGGUCACCAAGCCGCAACUGACGCUGAGGCACGAAAGCGCGGGGAUCGAACAGGAUUAGAUACCCUGGUA
rnacentral:rRNA from 1 species